rnacentral:rRNA from 1 species
AGUGAACGCUGGCGGUAGGCCUAACACAUGCAAGUCGAACGGCAGCACGGUAAGAGCUUGCUCUUACGGGUGGCGAGUGGCGGACGGGUGAGGAAUACAUCGGAAUCUACUUUUUCGUGGGGGAUAACGUAGGGAAACUUACGCUAAUACCGCAUACGACCUACGGGUGAAAGCAGGGGAUCUUCGGACCUUGCGCGAUUGAAUGAGCCGAUGUCGGAUUAGCUAGUUGGCGGGGUAAAGGCCCACCAAGGCGACGAUCCGUAGCUGGUCUGAGAGGAUGAUCAGCCACACUGGAACUGAGACACGGUCCAGACUCCUACGGGAGGCAGCAAUGGGGAAUAUUGGACAAUGGGCGCAAGCCUGAUCCAGCCAUACCGCGUGGGUGAAGAAGGCCUUCGGGUUGUAAAGCCCUUUUGUUGGGAAAGAAAAGCAGCAGGUUAAUACCCCGCUGUUCUGACGGUACCCAAAGAAUAAGCACCGGCUAACUUCGUG